GUGCAGUGACUUCCUGGAGUCUCUACUGACUGUCUGGCAACCUCAAGGCUCCAGUCUUCAUGCAGAAGAGACAGUUUUCAUCAAAGGACCAGUCAGACACUUCCUCGGGCUCGCAGUCUGGAUAAGAGAGGGAUACAGAGAGCAAAGGGUUAAAUCCAGACAAACUCCAACUCCCAUGAUUCCUCGGUGGAGUCUUCAAACCAGCUGUAAAUGAAGCGUAGAUGAAUCAACAGAGAAAUCCCAACACACAUCCAGUCGAGCCUGCAGAGUGAAAGCUGAGGGCCCACAAACCACAACAAUGAGAGCAUUAAAAUGAUUCACUUUUAAUUACAGCCGACGAUUAAAUUAAAGCGAUGACUACCUUCACACGUCAAGUACGCUGUGUGAAAAAUUAACCACACCUGUGAUUGACAGGUGAUCUCAAACGCUACGUGAAUGCCUCUCUGUGUGUGUGUAUGUGUGUGUACAUAUGUCUGCAUGUGUUUGUGAAGUAUUCAUGCCCUAAAGCCCUAUUUGUGAAGAAGUAAUAACCCCUUUCUGAGGCUGUAUUCUGCUAACAUGUUCAGUGGGAUGAAGAAAUUCACAGCAUCCUCCUGGUAGUUCAGCUGCUACAAAUCAUGAAACGGAAACAUCCUGGUUUUCAAUCCUCUCUCACCUCAGAACGUUUUUUUUAUCUCUCCCUAUCAAGUGGAGACGUGGGAAGAGCCUCUGGUUCUGCGAGUAAUUUCACCCCCACUGGAAAUUCACCUUUGAAAGUUUAUUUGUUACUAACUGUAGCUGAUCAGAAACAUACACAGGAGUUUUCUAGAUAAUUUAACAUUAUGUUAACAUAACAGAACAUAAAAAUGACAGAAUUCUGCAUAUUGUUAUAACAAAGAGGCUCGUCUACCAUGUGGUGCC